UUCAGCUUAAUCGGAGAUAGGGUGCGGGAGAAAAAAAACUUGUACAAACGGCAGACAGAGUCAAACUUAGGAUGGCAGGGGAUAGCAGUGGUCAGGGUUCAAACUCUGGAUUAUCAUAAUGGCAGAUGGAAGUGCACACCAUAUGACCAGGCAUUCAUCUUCAAAGAUCAGUAGUAAAUAAUUCUUGUUUUGUAAAUGUAUUCAUUUCAGAGAGAGAAAAAAAUAAAGACAUCUAAAAACUGAGACAACAUUUUGAUUUAAAGUUUUAAAUCCUUGUCUGAUAUAAACAAAUAAGUAAAAGCAUCAGAUCUAUUAGUUAGCACUACCAUAUAUCAGCAAUUUAUUUUACAUACCACAAGUUUAUCGUCAUGAACACAUUUGGACAUCAACAAGAAGGAAUUAUAUCAGCAUUGUAACAAAUGAAAGCACUUUUUGGUCAUUUGAAACUAUUAGUCAGUCGGAGUAUGUACAUUUAUACUUCAUAACCAUAAUGAACUAUGAGAGAAUUAUUCAAAUUUUAAUGAUCAAUGGAUUAAUUGUUAAUGAUUGGUUUUGUAAUCAAUGUCAGUCAUUGUUUAUUAUAGAAAAAGUACAGUCCAUUUUAGAAUAUAGAAAGGAUUUUCCAACAGUAAACAAGGAACUCCUUGAAUCCCAACCCUUAAAUUUGAAUCAAACAGCUUAAUCAAAACAAAGCUUUUAUAAGUCUUCAUCCCAAUUUACAUCUUCAAGAGUGAUAACAUCCUCUUGGCUUGAUGUUACACCAUUCUUGAUGGUGCCACUUAGUGAAUCCAGAGGACAUGAUUCUUCCCAAGUGCUUUGAGUUUCUUUUUGUGUCAGCUCCACGCGUUGAAUUUUUUUAGGAGGUGUGCUCCCAAAGAAACUGGUCAGGCUUGUCUGACGUUUGACUGGGCUUACUUCUUUAUCUUGACUUUUAAAGGGAGAUCUCUUCUGAAUGGGUGAGUAUUGACUCUUUGGGUUCAGCCUUUUCUUUGGUGUAGCU
rnacentral:sRNA from 1 species